UACAGGAGGUGCAAACGUUGCUCGGAAUCAUUGGGCGUAAAGCGCACGUAGGCGGUUCGUUAUGUCGGAUGUGAAAGCCCUUGGCUUAACCGAGGAAGUGCAUCCGAAACUGGCGAGCUAGAGUACGAAAGAGGAUCGCGGAAUUCCCGGUGUAGAGGUGAAAUUCGUAGAUAUCGGGAGGAACACCGGUGGCGAAGGCGGCGAUCUGGGUCGAUACUGACGCUGAGGUGCGAAAGCGUGGGGAGCAAACAGG
rnacentral:rRNA from 1 species